UUUGUAUAUCCAAUCUUCCACAUAAUUGAUUUCUAAAAAUGUUUCUGUGCCCCUUCUUUUAAAUUCUGCUCAGAGCUGCGGAUCAUGGAGAUUUCUCUGGCUCUCCAGUGACACUCCAGAUGCUGAGGUGAUCCACACGACAUCACUCACAAUCUGCGAUUCGUUAAGAUUUCUUUCAGAGAUGAUGAUGGAUUGAGCUUGCCUUCAAGCAGGAGAAAGAAGACAAAAGCAAUCGAAGUCACGCUUACUGGUGUAAGAGUGCCAGAUGUCAGUUUUGUGCAGAGGGAGCCAGCUUUACCUGAGAACUCAGUAUAGAAGAGCCAAGGGGAUGUUGAAGUUAGCAGGGCCAAAAGAGAGGGGGUUAUCCCCCAACACCAUGGCAGCAGGGCCACCGCAUGGAGCUGCAGAAAGGACCAGAGACAAUGUCUCCAUCCCCGUUUGCCUGGGGCUGUAGCUCGACAUCCCUGUCCCAGGAGCUCAUGCACCUGAGGUGUUACCACGGACAGCUCUUAGUCUGGGUCUCAAGUGGGUAGAAAAGAAGCUUCCCAAUGUCAUCGUUGACGCUCAUGGAAUAAGACAAUCUGCUCAAAUAAUUCUUGCAUGUGUCUAUACGGGAUUUCCUUAUUUUUUAACAUGAACAUUUGGAGCCGAGAGCCUGAAGACAAAGACUUGGAUCUUGACUCCCUGCCCCAGCUUCUCGUCCAUGGAACGGUCCAGCCAUCUGUCCUAUUUCCUUGUCACGGCAUCG
ensembl:lncRNA